rnacentral:sRNA from 2 species
AGUCUUAUUAUGCCGAAUUCCAUUUGGAAGCGGAGGACCCAUUUUUGGGGUGAAUCUGGACUUUAGGUUUAUUAUUUUGAUCUAAGGUCUGGUAGGGUUACUCUUUCAACCCGAAUCCGACAGCUAACUUCGUAGGCAUUGAAAGAGGAAGA